AUUGAACGCUGGCGGCAGGCCUAACACAUGCAAGUCGAGCGGAGCGGCGGACGGGUGCGUAAUGCCUAGGAAUCUGCCUGGUAGUGGGGGAUAACUUCCGGAAACGGGCGCUAAUACCGCAUACUAUCAGAUGAGCCUCGGUCGGAUUAGCUAGUUGGUGGGGUAAAGGCCUACCAAGGUGACGAUCCGUAACUGGACUGAGAGGAUGAUCGGUCACACUGGGACUGAGACACGGUCCAGACUCCUACGGGAGGCAGCAGUAGGGAAUAUUGGACAAUGGGCGAAAGCCUGAUCCAGCCAUGCCGCGUGUGUGAAGAAGGUCUUCGGAUUGUAAAGCACUUUAAGUUGGGAGGCGUUACCAACAGAAUAAGCACCGGCUAACUUCGUGCCAGCCGCCGCGGUAAUAC
rnacentral:rRNA from 1 species